rnacentral:rRNA from 1 species
UACGAAGGGACCUAGCGUAGUUCGGAAUUACUGGGCUUAAAGAGUUCGUAGGUGGUUAAAAAAGUUGGUGGUGAAAUCCCAGAGCUUAACUCUGGAACUGCCAUCAAAACUUUUUAGCUAGAGUAUGAUAGAGGAAAGCAGAAUUUCUAGUGUAGAGGUGAAAUUCGUAGAUAUUAGAAAGAAUACCAAUUGCGAAGGCAGCUUUCUGGAUCAUUACUGACACUGAGGAACGAAAGCAUGGGUAGCGAAGAGGAUUAGAUACCCUCGUAGUCCAUGCCGUAAACGAUGUGUGUUAGACGUUGGAAAUUUAUUUUCAGUGUCGCAGUGAAAGCGAUAAACACACCGCCUGGGGAGUACGACCGCAAGGUUAAAACUCAAAUGAAUUGACGGGGACCCGCACAAGUAGUGGAGCAUGUGGUUUAAUUCGAAGAUACGCGCAGAACCUUACCAACACUUGACAUGUUCGUCGCGACUUUAAGAGAUUAAAGUUUUCGGUUCGGCCGGACGAAACACAGGUGCUGCAUGGCUGUCGUCAGCUCGUGUCGUGAGAUGUUGGGUUAAGUCCCGCAACGAGCGCAACCCUCACUUUUAGUUGCCAUCAUUUAGUUGGGCACUCUGAAAGAACUGCCAGUGAUAAGCUGGAGGAAGGUGGGGAUGACGUCAAGUCCUCAUGGCCCUUACGUGUUGGGCUACACACGUGCUACAAUGGCAUUUACAAUAGGAAGCAAGAUGGCAACAUUGAGCAAAUCCUAAAAAGAUGCCUCAGUUCGGAUUGCACUCUGCAACUCGAGUGCAUGAAGCUGGAAUUACUAGUAAUCGCGGAUCAGCGCGCCGCGGUGAAUACGUUCCCGGGUCU